AUCCAUUUUAGGAGUUCGAAAUAGGACGAAACGCUCGUCCUGGAU
rnacentral:hammerhead_ribozyme from 1 species